UAUAACUCCGUUUGAAUUCACAGCAGUGGCGGACAUCAGUACGCCACUGCUAUGGAUUCGGACAGGGCUAUGAAUGGGGCGGUGGGUGCAAUCAUUGUUUGUGCAAGACUCGUCUCGGUCAUAGAAAAUUGUCUUCAGUCAUUGAGAAGAUCACUGAAACACUCAGCAGACGUGACCGAUGCCGACGACCAAUGUUCCCUGCGGAGCAUUGCCGAUCGCUUCGAUUGUCACCCGGAGCAGAACGCCACUGAAAAGGCGUGCCGCGCCAGGGGUUGCUGCUGGAGGAGCGGCGCAGUGGAGGGAUCCGACGUUCCGCUCUGCUUCUUCCCAAAGGACUACAUCGGCUACCGAGUGGUAGGCAUCGCCUCGCACGACGAAGGCGUCCGUCUCAAGUUGUCCCGGCAGACGCCCUCGGGCAUCGACGACGACGUGCAAGCGGUUGACGUGAGCGUCGGCUACUACGAUCGGGACACAGUCAGAAUAACGAUUGUUGAUACAACGCGGGAACGCUUCGUUCCCCCUUUGCCAGAGAUACCCCAAAAGACAUUCAAAGGUAGACGGGACUACAUCGUCAACGCUUCAGACUGUGGAGUACUCAGUGUUCACCGCUUGGACGAGCACAACACAACCUUGUUCAGUGCAAACCUAUCGCGGCUUGUGUUCACCGACUACUUCCUGCAGCUGUCGACGUUGAUGCCCACUGAUCUCGUUUACGGCCUCGGAGAGCAGUGGACAUCCCUGCGACGCAGUGUUGACUGGAGGCGUUACUACCUGUUCACCCGAGACGGCUGGCCCAGGCCCAAUGUCAACCUUUAUGGAGCGCAUCCCCUCUACGUGGCUCUGGAACACAGUGGAUACAGCCACGGCAUAUACCUUCACAACAGCAAUUUUAUCGAGAUCCUGCUGCAGCCGACGCCAGCGGCCACAUUUCGCACCCUGGGUGGCAUGCUUGACUUCUUCGUUUUCACGGGCCCCAGUCCGGGACAUGUGGUGCAGCAGUACCAGCGUGUGGUGGGCUUCCCCGCCAUGCCUCCGUACUGGGCCCUCGGCUUUCACCUCUGCCGUUACGGUUACGGCACACUCAACAGGACCCGCGAAAUCAUGGAGAAAAACAUCCAAGCCGGCAUUCCUCUGGACAUACAGUGGAGCGACAUAGACUACAUGGACAGUCUGAACGAUUUCACCUACGACAAGGAUAGGUACGCUGAUCUUCCAGACUUCGUUGCGAAAAUCCACGAGGGAGGGCGUCACUACGUCAUGAUAUUCGACCCAGGAGUGAGCGGAAGCGAAAUGCCCGGCACCUAUCCGCCACUUGAUGAAGGACUUCAGAUGGACGUUUUCGUGAAAAAUGUGACAGGUGGAAUCGUGUACGCCAAGGUGUGGAACAAGGUGAGCACCGUGUUCCCUGACUUCACGCAUCCCAAUUCGACUCGUUACUGGACGAGGCAGUUCCGAAGAUUUCACGACGCGGUACCUUUCGACGGAGCCUGGAUAGACAUGAACGAGCCGUCGAACCGGUACGACGGCCACAAGGACGGAUGCCCACGCGACCAGAGAGUGGAGCGUCCGCCUUACGUUCCGGGCCACGAUCCCCUCUCCAUUCACACGUUGUGUAUGAGCGACCAGCACUACGUGUCUUCGCACUACAACGUGCACAGCGUCUACUCGCAGCUGGAAGCUAGGGCCACUCACCGGGCAUUGGUAGAGAUCCGCCAGAAGCGUCCCUUCAUUAUUUCGCGGUCCACCUCUCCGGGUCAAGGUGCCUGGUCCGGUCAUUGGUCGGGAGACAUACAGUCCAGCUGGGAAGAUCUGAGGCUCAGCAUACCCAAUGUUCUCAGUUUCGGCAUGUACGGCAUACCUCUGUCCGGUGCGGACAUAUGCGGUUUUCAGGGCAACACCACCGUGGAAUUGUGUGCCCGUUGGCAAGUUGUGGGAGCGUUCUAUCCGUUUGCAAGAAAUCACAACUCCCUUUCCAGCAAGGACCAAGACCCGUACAGUAUGGGACCUGAGGUAGCGCGAGCCACCAGGAUUGCCCUGACUGUCCGCUACGCUAUGCUGCCAUACCUGUACACACUUUUCUAUAGGAGCCACGUCUACGGAGAGACUGUAGCCAGGGCACUUUUCUUCGAGUUUCCAGAAGACCCCCGCACCUACGACAUCGAAGAACAGUUUAUGUGGGGAUCGGCAUUGCUCAUAUCACCAGCUCUCCACAAGCCGCAAGAAUCCGAUAUGGCUCUUUGUGGCGCCAGAUGACCAGAAGAAGGCCCAAGGCGCCAUGUACUGGGACGACGGAGAAUCUCUCGAUGCCGUGCAGAAGCAAGCGUACAGCAUGUACAACUUUACCCUGGCGAAGAACCUGUUGACCGUAAACCACGUGGACAGAGGCUGUACUGAUAAGCUGACGUUUGGCGGAGCCAUCGUGACCGGCGUAGAAGAGCAACCUCGCUCGGUCAGAAUUGUUGGAGGACG
rnacentral:misc_RNA from 1 species